rnacentral:lncRNA from 1 species
CCGCCUCCACAGCCACAGCCACCAGCCUGUGCAGAGCCCCAGCUGGAGUGACUCGGGCAGGGGCAGCAGGGGUCGCGGGCUCCUCCUCGUGGGAAGAUCUCCAGUCCAGUUGAUGAAGGGCCAGCAUAUCCUCUUUCUCCCUUGAUGCCCUGAGGAGCAACAGCAGAAUUAGCUCUGUGGCUGCCUUUGGUGGUGUUAAUGCAAGACAUGGGGCUGAGGCCGGUACCCAGACUGGCACCUGAAGGCUGAGGGCACCAAAACAGGGGACUAGAGAGAAGAGACGGUGGCCAGUAGAGCCUCCCACCUGCCACUGUGGCCGAUGCUGGAAAGUGGGACACACCCACCCUGAGGCUUUUGCAAGGGUGUCUCCCUCUCUCUCCCAAAACCCCCUGGGAAGCAAAUCUCAGUUCUUCCCAAACCUGGGA